UACGUAGGUGGCAAGCGUUGUCCGGAUUUACUGGGCGUAAAGAGCGCGCAGGCGGUCGUCCAAGUCACGUGUGAAAGCCCCCGGCUCAACUGGGGAGGGUCACGCGAUACUGGUCGACUCGAAGGCAGGAGAGGGUAGUGGAAUUCCCGGUGUAGUGGUGAAAUGCGUAGAUAUCGGGAGGAACACCAGUGGCGAAGGCGACUACCUGGCCUGUUCUUGACGCUGAGGCGCGAAAGCUAGGGGAGUAAACGGG
rnacentral:rRNA from 1 species